ACGCUCGACACCUACGGGGGGCAGCAGUGGGGAAUAUUGCACAAUGGGGGAAACCCUGAUGCAGCGACGCCGCGUGAAGGAAGAAGUAUUUCGGUAUGUAAACUUCUAUCAGCAGGGAAGAAAAUGACGGUACCUGAGUAAGAAGCACCGGCUAAAUACGUGUCAGCAGCCGCGGUAAUCUGAGCGGGCUGGCAAGGC
rnacentral:rRNA from 1 species